AUCCUGUUGCCAGAGCCUGAGCUGCAUUAAAAAUCAGAGGACAUGACUUGAGACUGCUAUCUAUGAAAUAAAUUUGAAUACUUCUAUAGCCGCUGUUUGCAGUCCACAAUGUACAACAUCAUUCCGAUUUUCUAACCAUCAGAAAGUUGGUGUUCAACAGACAACACUACUUGGUUCAUAAUAAACAAGCCUCUACAGCUAUUGGUUCAUCACAGUGGACAAGCUCAUUGACUGUGUAAAGAUGUAGGUAUUCUUCUGGAACCUUUUCAUCUGACCUUACAGCUUUAUGAUCAACAUUUUCUGUGCACCAUUGCUUACAAAGGAAAUGGGCCAAUGUUGAACUGAACAUCUGAACUGACUGCUGAAGAUGGUACAGCAAUAAUCAUGCUUGAGAGCUGGUUUGAGGAGCUGCUGCUUCUGAAUUAUGAACUUUCACCCGGUUGACCGGAGUAGCUGCGACUAGCACACAGCGACAGUCAAAUGCAGGUUCAUACCAUGGAAAAGUCUCCCAGCCACCAAGCCAAGCUUUCAUGUUCUGCGAAGAAAGCUGUUACAAGACAAACCCUUCCCCCUAAUAAUGACUGCUAUGAGAAGGCAUCAUUUUCACAACAGUUAUAUACAAAGAGGCGAGCUAUGCAAAUGGGAGAAAUACAGAGUAUUUAUCUGAAAUACAGCUGUAAAAAUCAACAUUUGACAGCAAAGGAGCCAUAUAUCACAUGAAAAUAUUGUUUUUGAGCAGGACAGGGCAACUGAAGAUAAUAUGGCUUUUGUGUAACACACCCUGUCUCUGAGGACGUAAUUAAGAAGUUGUAUAACAAAACUGAAAGCCCUGUAAGACACAGCCGGAGUUCCAACUUGUGGAUAAUUGCCAUUGCUGUGGAGGAUGUAUGAGGUAACAUGAUUUGCUUCAUAACAGAGCUUUUAUGAGGCUUGUUUGGAGCAGAAAUUUCUACCAGCCCUAUUAGAACAAGUGCAAGCAUAUAGUAGAAGCCAUAGAAUACUGAUAAAUAGCUGUACAAUUAUUUAUACAAGGGCUGAAUCUUGACUGAAAACCCUGUGCACCUUGGAGGAGAGGAAGAAAGUAUUUCCAGUUUCAAACCUAUAAAUCUUUCAUGCCUCUAAAUGUGAUGUUUUGUGAGGCAGUCUGAAAGAGGUACUGUCUUGAUGUUGAUGAAGUGCUGUGAUAAAGGAUUCACUUCCUAUGUAUCUAUGAGAUAAAUCUGAACAAUAAUUAUUUCAAAGGCUUGAAAGUAUCAGGUGUGUAAUUCUGACAAGAAGAAUAUGAUGAAAUUCAAAAAGUUGAAAAAUUCUUUUCUCAUUUCACCAUGAGGAAGGAAUCACUGACAUAUCAAACACAACAAAACUCUAUGAAUACAUAUAGGAACUGACUGGAAUCUAGGAAGUGUAUUAUGAGAAAAUAACAUAUGUACAAGGAUUUGGAUAAUCUAUCUGGAUGCUGGUAAAAAAAUAACCUGUUUACUUAAUCAUUAAAUACUGCUUUUCCAUACUUUCA